AUACGUAGGGUGCGAGCGUUAAUCGGAAUUACUGGGCGUAAAGCGUGCGCAGGCUGUUUUGUAAGUCAGAUGUGAAAUCCCUGAGCUCAACUUAGGAACUGCGUUUGAAACUACAAGACUAGAAUAUGUCAGAGGGGGGUAGAAUUCCACGUGUAGCAGUGAAAUGCGUAGAGAUGUGGAGGAAUACCAAUGGCGAAGGCAGCCCCCUGGGAUAAUAUUGACGCUCAUGCACGAAAGCGUGGGGAGCAAACAGGAUUAGAUACCCUGGUAGUCCACGCCCUAAACGAUGUCUACUAGUUGUUGGUGGAGUAAAAUCCAUGAGUAACGCAGCUAACGCGUGAAGUAGACCGCCUGGGGAGUACGGUCGCAAGAUUAAA
rnacentral:rRNA from 1 species